UGCCGCCACACCUGCUCCCCACAACCUUUCAUAGUUACUUUUGGCCUGUGAAGAGAGAGCAGCGAGGAAGCCCAGUGAACAUAUCAACAGGGCCUAAUGUCGCUGGCAAUUAGGAAACUACAAAUUGAGGAAACCUGCAAAUUCUUUUCAGUUCCUACAUCUGAGUUCCUGCCUUAACAUCUCUUGGUGACAAACAGAUCUAUAACCUGCAAGCAGAGUGAGCCCUUUCUCCACCCAGGCUCUUUUUGAUCAUAGUGUUUAUCACAACAAUGAAAUCCAGGCUAGGACAACAUCAGUGAUCGCAGGAGGAGGAAAAAAAAGCCUAAGAGUCAGAGAAGAUGGAGGACACCCAGGAAAUAAGGCCUUCUCAACACAGAAGGAAUGGCACGCAGACGCUCGCGGGGCCUGGGGCAGCACG
rnacentral:lncRNA from 1 species